GGUGGUAGGUGUGCGUAGUGUCAGUCUGCGUUUAGUACAGUCUCCAGUCUGUGUUUUACAGGCUGUGUGACUGUACUCACACCACACCUGUAGCCAUAGAGUCACUGGAGAUCAUAGUACUGGCUUAGUGAUGUCUCUGUGACCAUGUCUCUGUGACCAUCUCCCACUGGCCAGCCUCCAUUCUCUCCUACAAAA